rnacentral:rRNA from 1 species
GAUGAACGCUGGCGGCGUGCCUAAUACAUGCAAGUCGAGCGAACAGAUGAGGAGCUUGCUCCUCUGACGUUAGCGGCGGACGGGUGAGUAACACGUGGAUAACCUACCUAUAAGACUGGGAUAACUUCGGGAAACCGGAGCUAAUACCGGAUAAUAUAUUGAACCGCAUGGUUCAAUAGUGAAAGACGGUUUUGCUGUCACUUAUAGAUGGAUCCGCGCCGCAUUAGCUAGUUGGUAAGGUAACGGCUUACCAAGGCAACGAUGCGUAGCCGACCUGAGAGGGUGAUCGGCCACACUGGAACUGAGACACGGUCCAGACUACUAAGGGAGGCAGCAGUAGGGAAUCUUCCGCAAUGGGCGAAAGCCUGACGGAGCAACGCCGCGUGAGUGAUGAAGGUCUUCGGAUCGUAAAACUCUGUUAUUAGGGAAGAACAAAUGUGUAAGUAACUAUGCACGUCUUGACGGUACCUAAUCAGAAAGCCACGGCUAACUACGUG